UCUGCAUUCCCUAGUAGCGGCGAGCGAGCGGGAAGAGCUCAAAUUUAUAAUCUGGCACCUUCGGUGUCCGAGUUGUAAUCUCUAGAAGUGUUUUCCGCGUUGGACCGCACACAAGUCUGUUGGAAUACAGCGGCAUAGUGGUGAAACCCCCGUAUAUGGUGCGGACGCCCAGCGCUUUGUGAUACACUUUCAAUGAGUCGAGUUGUUUGGGAAUGCAGCUCAAAUUGGGUGGUAAAUUCCAUCUAAAGCUAAAUAUUGGCGAGAGACCGAUAGCGAACAAGUACCGUGAGGGAAAGAUGAAAAGCACUUUGGAAAGAGAGUUAACAGUACGUGAAAUUGUUGGAAGGGAAACGCUUGAAGUCAGACUUGCUUGCCGGAGCUUGCUUCGGUUUGCAGGCCAGCAUCAGUUUUCCGGGGUGGAUAAUGACGGUUUGAAGGUAGCAGUCUCGGCUGUGUUAUAGCUUUCCGUUGGAUACAUCCUGGGGGACUGAGGAACGCAGCGUGCUUUUUGCGAAAGACUCGUCUUUUUCACGCUUAGGAUGCUGGUGGAAUGGCUUUAAACGACCCGUCUUGAACC
rnacentral:rRNA from 1 species